rnacentral:lncRNA from 1 species
GUCAAAAACAAUAAAUGUAAAUUGGAUGGUAAUCCUUAAAUUAAACACGACAAACUAAGUUCGCUCUCUUAAGUGAGAGACCAACAUCAUAAAAUUAGUCUAUAGGACCAGCAUCAUAUAACCCAAAGACAACACAUGUCUGUUCUCAAAUAAGAAAGGAUGAGCACCAUCCUAAAUAACAAGACAACAAAUGUCCGUUCAAAUGAAUAGGACAACCGUCCUUAAAAAAUUCCGGCGGACGACACCAUCCGUUCCCAUAACAGAAUAAAAUAAAUGAAAAUGCAGACCAUCUGCUAAAUAGGACCACCGUCCUUUAAAAAAUUCCGACGGACGACACCAUCCGUUCCCAUAACAGAAUAAAAUAAAUAAAAAUGCAGACCAUCUGCUAAAUAGGACCACCGUCCUUUAAAAAAUUCCGACGGACGACACCAUCCGUUCCCAUAACAGAAUUAAAUAAAUGAAAUGCAGAC